rnacentral:rRNA from 1 species
UAUGAGUUUGAUCMUGGCUCAGAUUGAACGCUGGCGGCAGGCCUAACACAUGCAAGUCGAGCGGAAACGAUGGAAGCUUGCUUCCAGGCGUCGAGCGGCGGACGGGUGAGUAAUGCAUGGGAAUCUGCCCGAUAGUGGGGGAUAACCUGGGGAAACCCAGGCUAAUACCGCAUACGUCCUACGGGAGAAAGCAGGGGAUCUUCGGACCUUGCGCUAUCGGAUGAGCCCAUGUCGGAUUAGCUUGUUGGUGAGGUAAUGGCUCACCAAGGCGACGAUCCGUAGCUGGUCUGAGAGGAUGAUCAGCCACAUCGGGACUGAGACACGGCCCGAACUCCUACGGGAGGCAGCAGUGGGGAAUAUUGGACAAUGGGCGAAAGCCUGAUCCAGCCAUGCCGCGUGUGUGAAGAAGGCCCUCGGGUUGUAAAGCACUUUCAGUGGGGAAGAAAGCCUUGGGAUUAAUACUCCCGAGGAAGGACAUC